rnacentral:lncRNA from 1 species
GCUGCUGGCCUAUAUAUAAGAACUCGGACUGAUCAAAUUGUCAAAGUAUACAUUCUUGAUCAUGAUAUUCGAAUAAUGCAUAAAAAGGAUUAAUGAUAAUCGACAUCGCCUUUGGCUUGUUUCAUAGUUUUCUUCAUAGCAAAUGAAUGAUGCUCUGUAAUAAGUUGAUUGCAACCUUCUUAUCAGUUAUUGAACUCAAAUAUUUUUUUGCUAUAUGCUUUAGAAGUAUAUAUUUGCUAUUUCAUUGUAACUUGUGUUCUGUUUGCCCGUAAGGUUGUCUUUAGAGAAGAUGAGAUAGCAUACCAAAUUGGGGAAACCACUGAAAUACUGUCAAGAAGUUAUCUUUGUGCAACACCUCACUGUGUCCGGGUACUUUCUAUAAUUCAUUUUGUGUUUCGGGAAGAUUUUGGAAAAUUUUCACCAUACCAUGCAUAUACUGUCAUAAAACUGACUCAAACAAUGUAAAUUUGGUUUGUCUUGUAAGGUCUUAUUUUGUCCUCAAAUCCACUCUUGAUGUAGAUGUGAUAUUUGUCAUGUCAAAAUUUUUAUAAUUAGCAGGCCAAUAAUAUGUAAGAUGUUUUAUGGAGUCCUUUCUUUCUUGAAUUGAUACAUUGAAGCUUAUAUAAACCAGUCUAUCUCUAAGGUAUUGAACUUUGAUUCUUUUCAGUGGACCGGUGCUUUGACUUAAGACAGACUUGAUUUACUGUUUAGGGAGGUUGCAUAUUCUCAGGUUUAACUAUGUUUUCCAAAAUGAUAGCUUCAACAAAGUUAAGUUCAUUACAGAGUGUGUAGGCAUAAUCUAAGUUUUGCCAAUGGUUUAACUUCUAUGGGCACAAUCAUGAUACACCUAUAAAUUUCUUAUGUUCUAAAUUUUAGAUCCCGUUUCCAUUGCCAUAUUCUGUGAUAAUAUUUCUUGCUUUCUGGUAGGCGCCAAGAGGAGAGGAGGCCUCUGGUAUUGACCGAUCAACAUUUGCAUUAUUUAUGCAACCUGACUGGUAGGUUUAUUCACAAAGUUGAUUUGUAUAAUACAUAUUUUUUUAGCCUCACUUAUGCCAGUAUAAUUUUUAUGGGAGAAAACAGCAUUAUAGAUUGUAUUUUCUUUUAAAAUUCUCAUUUUUGAGACUUUCGUUUUACAGGGACGAAAAGCUUAAUUUUCCAGAGGAUGCACAUAUUCAUAAAGAGGUAUGUGUCAAAACCCUAUACCUUUAUGACGGUCUGAGAAUGUUUGGCCCGUCUUUGCUAUCUGAAAACUCUAUAGAAAUAUACUGAGGUGAUAGAAGUAGUUCAUCUGUCAUCCCCCUCCCCUCCCUCUGUUCUUCCUCCAUUAUUGAGUCCUCCCCAUUCAUUUAAAAGAAAAUGGUGUAGCUAGCUUCAUUUUUGCUAAUAAGACCUAUGAAUGUAUAUAUAUAUUUUCGAUUGGUUAUGAUCUACAAUAAUAUAACCAAUUUAGAUAUAUUACCAUAUGAAUGUAUUAUUGCUUGGAGGUCCUCAUCUACUCCUACUAAUAUUUAGAGAGAUAUCUACUACUACUCACAUUUGUAUUUAGAUAUAUUACCAUAAAAAUUGUUUUAUAACUUAGAGGUCUACAUCUACCCGUACUAAUAUUUAGAGAGAUAUCUAUUGCUAAUCACAUGUGUAAUAAGAAAAAUAUUUUGAGUCUCUAAACUCAGCUUUGUUGAGGAAAAAAGCCCACCAGUAGGUCAAGGCCUCAAUGACUAUCAAUGUAGUAUGAAUGUGUUAGGUGAAUGUGGUUGUAAUUUAACUAACCAUAUUCCUGUGACUCAUUUCAGGUGAUACCAUCAAAUGGUGCUCUUACAUUUGGAGAAUACACUGAGAGGCUACUCGACAAAUAUUACCACCUUAAAACGUAAACAAGAUGCGAUUUCUGAAUAAAAACGAGGGGUUAAUAAUAGAUAACAAUGGUAAAUAAAUAUUUCUUAUAACGGUUAGGCAAAACUCACGUAGCAGUUCAUCUGCAGCUGAUUAGCGGGAUAAGACCUAAUCCUACUGUAUAAGUUGACAAUUGUUGAACUUUUUACUUGUAUAUUAAUUGUAUUGUAAUAUAUUGUCGACGCUAUUCAUUGGUACCAAACCUGGCUCCCAUAUGCUUACCAUUUGCUACUAGAAUGUCGGCUCUGAACGUAAUCUUUCUCGCAAACUGCAACGGAUAAGAAUGAUUUAAAAACUCUGAAGAAGUAAGGAUCUCUACGUAAUUACAAAAACGUGUCAGUUUGGCGACUUUAAUACUCGCCACUAAGUUCAAGUACAGUGUUAGCAAUUCUUUUUAUUUUUUUAAUAUGGUGAGUGAGACAACGACGAGAGGAAGAUAAGUCGAAUUUGAGCAGUCGGGCAGCCAACCUAGAAGCUUGUGCCGAAAAGGAAAACGUGGUUAAAUAACGACAAGAGUGCGUUGUCAUACAUGCGAAGCUUGAUGUUGAAAGUGGUGUGGGGCUGUGGCCUGUGGGCUAUACUAUACAUUUGUUCCUUUUCGUCCUUCAGGUCUUUAUCCUUUUGAGCGAGCCCCACAAAGCUUUGACCGACAUAAAUUUAUUUUUUUAAAUGACCAAAAUAACCCGGAAUUUAUUUUGCUGAUCAAUCUUCCUUUUUUUUUAAAAGAAGCUUCUAAAUUUGAUUAGUUUAUAAUAAAAAUGAGCAGUUAAAAAUUACAAUCAACAAUAUCACGUGUAUAGAAUCCCAUAUAAUACAUAUGUUAUUGUAACUUCAAAGUGGCAAUGGGUGAGCAUAUAAAGAUUUAUGAUAUGAAAUAAUUUAAUGAUGAGAUGUGGAUUUUAUAUGAGGAAAUUUGUUUAUGUAUACCAUUAUUUUAAAAAAUUAGUAUAUUCAAAAUUAGUUUAUCCAAAAAACUAUUUAAAUUAAAUAAAAAUUACAUUGUAAUUAGUUUUUAAGCUUUUAUAAAUUUCCGAAAUCAAAAUUUGGAGGCUCACAUUUAAGAUAUCUUAAUUUUAGAAAGGCGAAAAAAAGAUAGUAAUUAAAUUCUCAACCACAAGAAAAUUGGAGGGUGAAAAAUAGGAAAUGAAGGUAUUUUAAAUGGGGAUAGUAAUGUCAAAUCGUGAAAGUGUAAGUUUCCAUGCAAUUGACAUUAAACUUCAAACAUGGGACCACGCCGUCCAUAGCCUCCCCCAUCAGGCGUCCCGUCUAUAUAACCGCCACAAACGAAAAACAGCAGCGGCAGCAGAGGCCGCUUGUAGGAAGAAGCUCUCGCUAAUCAAAUUUGCCCACGACAACAUCUUCCACCACCGCCAGCAGCAGCAUGUCCGUUCCUUACAUUUACCUGACCUCCGAAUCCCGCCGUCAUAAAAGCCACAGCAAGAAAACUGAGAUUCGAAAGCGCUGUGCGCGUAUGGUGAAGCAACAGAAGACCCGAUUCUACAUCCUCGGACGCUGCAUAUCUAUGCUCCUCUGCUGGCACGAUCACGAUAUGUCUGAUUAAUUAUUGCUCUUCUGAUCAUCAAAGAGCGAGUUGCGUGACGGACGGGGUGUUAAUAACACGUGGCGGAAUCAGAGCUCUCCAUAAAAAUUAGUUUCUUAACUUCAAGAGGGGAGGGGAGGGGAACGGAACCGACGCGUGAAAGUUUUUCUGAUCAUGUAAAUAUAGAGGGGUUGAUUUAGAUCGAUGAUGAGAUUUGAUAUAAUGGGAGUAUAAUUUAACAAUUUUGGGUGAUUUUAUCCCGUGAGAUUAAUUCAUCGGUAGUGUUAUUAUAUUAAACCAAAUAUAUAUAUAUAUUGCUGGAUUUGCAGGCCAAUCAUUAUUACCUUACAAUCUUACAUGCCACUUUCUUCAAUCCUCAUGGCUUGGGGAAAAUGGUGGCUCUUAAUUUUCUCGGGAAAAGAAUUAUUGAUUACUUGGUAAUCCAGUUUUUCUCUCUGAAAUUUGUGUAGUGGCGCGUACAACAUUAUUUGGUCUAUGUAAAAUGUAUUAUAAAUAUGUAAAAUAUUGAAUCCAAUAGAAGGAUACAAAAUUAACUCUUAUUUCUUCUUGAUUUGUGUUUUCAUUGGAUGGAUGGAUGUAACAGUGAAUUUCUAACUGCAAGAUCCAAAAUGGUUGCAAUUGGGUGCUUUCGCAGUGAAAUAAGUAACUUUGCUGCAAUCUUUAUGGCCGUUGAAUUUAGAAGCGUCACAUUAACCAAAAGAUUCAUCAAAAGUGGUGCUUAUCGCUACGCGGGUUAUAAAAUAGGAUCAGGAUUCUUUGAUGAUCUGAUCAUAUUCUGAGUAAAUAACUCAAUCACUGAUUGGUUAUUAAUAAAUAAAAAAGUAAAAGAAGUUAAAUUUUA